GAUGAAGAACGCAGCGAAAUGCGAUAAGUAAUGCGAAUUGCAGAAUUUCCGUGAAUCAUCGAAUCUUUGAACGCACAUUGCGCCCGCCAGUAUUCUGGCGGGCAUGCCUGUUCGAGCGUCAUUUCAACCAUCAAGCCCCCGGCUUGUGUUGGGGACCUGCGGCUGCCGCAGGCCCUGAAAAGCAGUGGCGGGCUCGCUGUCACACCGAGCGUAGUAGCAUACAUCUCGCUCUGGGCGUGCUGCGGGUUCCGGCCGUUAAACCACCUUCAUAACCCAAGGUUGACCUCGGAUCAGGUAGGAAGACCCGCUGAACUUAAGCAUAUCAAUAAGCGGAGGA
rnacentral:misc_RNA from 1 species